GGAAUAUUGCACAAUGGGCGAAAGCCUGAUGCAGCGACGCCGCGUGAGUGAAGAAGUAUUUCGGUAUGUAAAGCUCUAUCAGCAGGGAAGAAAAUGACGGUACCUGACUAAGAAGCCCCGGCUAACUACGUGCCAGCAGCCGCGGUAAUACGUAGGGGGCAAGCGUUAUCCGGAUUUACUGGGUGGAAAGGGAGCGUAGACGGCGAAGCAAGCCUGAAGUGAAAACCCAGGGCUCAACCCUGGGACUGCUUUGGAAACUUUUUUGCUAUAGUGUCGGAGAGGUAAGUGGAAUUCCUAGUGUAGCGGUGAAAUGCGUAGAUAUUAGGAGGAACACCAGUGGGGAAGGCGGCUUACUGGACGAUAACUGACGUUGAGGCUCGAAAGCGAGGGGAGCAAACA
rnacentral:rRNA from 1 species